rnacentral:rRNA from 1 species
UACCGCAUAACGUCGCAAGACCAAAGAGGGGGACCUUCGGGCCUCUUGCCAUCGGAUGUGCCCAGAUGGGAUUAGCUAGUAGGUGGGGUAACGGCUCACCUAGGCGACGAUCCCUAGCUGGUCUGAGAGGAUGACCAGCCACACUGGAACUGAGACACGGUCCAGACUCCUACGGGAGGCAGCAGUGGGGAAUAUUGCACAAUGGGCGCAAGCCUGAUGCAGCCAUGCCGCGUGUAUGAAGAAGGCCUUCGGGUUGUAAAGUACUUUCAGCGGGGAGGAAGGGAGUAAAGUUAAUACCUUUGCUCAUUGACGUUACCCGCAGAAGAAGCACCGGCUAACUCCGUGCCAGCAGCCGCGGUAAUACGGAGGGUGCAAGCGUUAAUCGGAAUUACUGGGCGUAAAGCGCACGCAGGCGGUUUGUUAAGUCAGAUGUGAAAUCCCCGGGCUCAACCUGGGAACUGCAUCUGAUA